rnacentral:rRNA from 1 species
UACGGGGGGGGCAAGCGUUGUUCGGAAUUACUGGGCGUAAAGGGCUCGUAGGCGGCCCACUAAGUCGGAUGUGAAAUCCCCAGGCUUAACCUGGGAACUGCAUCCGAUACUGGAUGGCUUGAAUCCGGGAGAGGGAUGCAGAAUUCCAGGUGUAGCGGUGAAAUGCGUAGAUAUCUGGAGGAAUACCGGUGGCGAAGGCGGCAUCCUGGACCGGCAUUGACGCUGAUGAGCGAAAGCUAGGGGAGCAAACGGG